CCCCGCAUUGUAAGGUAGCCAACCUGGUCAGGUGCGGAAGCAAGCAGCCACAACUAUCAAGCAAGUGCCGGGG
rnacentral:SRP_RNA from 1 species